rnacentral:rRNA from 1 species
AUUGAACGCUGGCGGCAGGCCUAACACAUGCAAGUCGAGCGGAGCGGCGGACGGGUGAGAAAUGCCUAGGAAUCUGCCUGGUAGUGGGGGAUAACACCCGGAAAAGGGCGCUAAUACCGCAUACGAUCAGCGGAGCCAAAGUCGGAUUAGCUAGUUGGUGGGGUAAAGGCCCACCAAGGCGACGAUCCGGAACUGGUCUGAGAGGAUGAUCAGUCACACUGUAACGUAGACACGGUCCAGAAUCCUACGGGAGGCAGCAGUGGGAAAUAUUGGACAAUGGGCGAAAGCCGGAUCCGGCCAUGCCGCGUGUGUGAAGAAGGUCUUCGGAUUGUAAAGCACUUUAAGUUGGGCGGCGUUACCAACAGAAUAAGCACCGGCUAACUUCGUGCCAGCCGCCGCGGUAAUUC